rnacentral:rRNA from 1 species
CGCUAGCGGCAGGCUAACACAUGCAAGUCGAGGGGUACAGAAGAAAGCUUGCUUUCUUGCUGACGACCGGCGAACGGGUGCGUAACGCGUAUGCAACCUACCUGUAACUGAGGGAUAGCCAGUGGAAACGCUGAUUAAUACCUCAUAAUAUAAGAGAUUCGCAUGUUUCCCUUAUUAAAGCUCCGGCGGUUACAGAUGGGCAUGCGUCCCAUUAGUUUGUUGGUGAGGUAACGGCUCACCAAGACUACGAUGGGUAGGGGGCCUGAGAGGGUGAUCCCCCACACUGGUACUGAGACACGGACCAGACUCCUACGGGAGGCAGCAGUGAGGAAUAUUGGUCAAUGGGCGAAAGCCUGAACCAGCCAUGCCGCGUGCAGGAUGACUGCCCUACGGGUUGUAAACUGCUUUUGUAUGGGAAUAAACCCCUGAACGUGUUCAGGGCUGAAGGUGCCAUACGAAUAAGCACCGGCUAACUCCGUGCCAGCAGCCGCGGUAAUACGGAGGGUGCAAGCGUUAUCCGGAUUCAUUGGGUUUAAAGGGUCCGUAGGCGGAACAUUAAGUCAGUGGUGAAAGCCUGUAGCUUAACUAUAGAAUUGCCAUUGAUACUGGUGUUCUUGAGUGUAGUUGAGGUGGGCGGAAUACAGCAUGUAGCGGUGAAAUGCUUAGAUAUGCUGUAGAACACCGAUUGCGAAGGCAGCUCACUAAACUACUACUGACGCUGAGGGACGAAAGCGUGGGGAGCGAACAGGAUUAGAUACCCUGGUAGUCCACGCUGUAAACGAUGAUCACUAGUUGUCGGCGAUAUACUGUCGGUGGCUAAGCGAAAGUGAUAAGUGAUCCACCUGGGGAGUACGAUCGCAAGGUUGAAACUCAAAGGAAUAGACGGGGAUCCGCACAAGCGGUGGAGCAUGUGGUUUAAUUCGAAGAUACGCGAAGAACCUUACCUAGACUUGAAAUCCUUGGAAUCCUGCAGAGAUGCGGGAGUGCUUGUUUACAAGAGCUAAGUGACAGGUGCUGCACGGCUGUCGUCAGCUCGUGUCGUGAGAUGUUGGGUUAAGUCCCGCAACGAGCGCAACCCUCGUGUUUAGUUGCUAACAGUUCGGCUGAGCACUCUAAACAGACUGCCUUCGUAAGGAGGAGGAAGGUGAGGACGACGUCAAGUCAUCAUGGCCCUUAUGUCUAGGGCUACACACGUGCUACAAUGGUUGGGACAAAGAGCAGCAAUACCGCGAGGUGGAGCAAAUCUUAAAACCCAAUCUCAGUUCGGAUUGGAGUCUGCAACUCGACUCCAUGAAGCUGGAAUCGCUAGUAAUCGUAGAUCAGCAAUGCUACGGUGAAUACGUUCCCGGGUCGUUGUACUCACC